rnacentral:rRNA from 1 species
GAUGAACGCUGGCGGCGUGCAUAACACAUUCAAGUCGAACGGUGACGAGGACUUCGGUCCUCUGAUCAGUGGCGGACGGGUGAGUAACGCGUGAGCAACCUGCCUUUCAAAGCGGGAUAACGACUGGAAACGGUCGCUAAUACCGCAUAACGUAUACGGGGCCGCAUGGUCUGUAUACCAAAGGGAAACCUGAUGAAAGAUGGGCUCGCGUCUGAUUAGAUAGUUGGUGGGGUAACGGCUCACCAAGUCGACGAUCAGUAGCCGGACUGAGAGGUCGAACGGCCACAUUGGAACUGAGAUACGGGUCCAGACUCCUACGGGAGGCAGCAGUGGGGAAUAUUGGGCAAUGGGCGAAAGCCUGACCCAGCGACGCCGCGUGAAGGAUGAAGGUCUUC